rnacentral:tRNA from 3 species
UCCGCAGUAGCUCAGUGGUAGAGCAGUCGGCUGUUAACCGACCGGUCGUAAGUUCGAAUCUUACCUGCGGAGCCA